rnacentral:lncRNA from 1 species
UGAUUAUUCUCACCAGAUUAAAGGGAGGAAUAUUGUUUCUUUCUCCCAUUCUCUCCCCCGCUGGAGAACAAAUUUACAUUGUCAAGAUUUUCAGGCUGAAAUGAGUUAAUGCCGAAAAGAAAUUACACAGCUGACAAUUUUAGAUGGUUAGUCCUUCCACUCCACCUCAUGUCCCAGAGAGGGGACGUCUUUCUGGAGAGAGCGUUCUGUAGGAAGAACCACCUUCACCCGCAGCAGGGUGGUGCGUGGAGACUUCAGAGCCAUCUUGCCGCUCUUGCCCUCUGUCAAAGUGAACCCAGAAUCAUCACCCUUCCCGUCGAGAUCACAGGAGUCUGCUGUGACUGGCUCCAGGUCAUAAAGUUGCCAAAGGAUGAGAUGACUGGCUGGCAUCACUGACUCAAUGGGCCUGAGUUUGAGCAAACUUCGGGAGACAGUGGAGGACAGAGAGCCUGGUGUGCUGCAGUCCAUGGGGUCACAAGGAGUGGGACACGACUGAGGACUAAACAACAACACAAAGUUGAGCUGAGCUGGACCACCUCUCUGGGCUCCACUUCCUCGCCUACAUUUCCUUUUCCUGAAGACACCUGGGCCUCUGCAAAUUGGAAUACACAUGAACACGUCUUUGAGGCCCUUGAACUUACAGUUUGUGCCCUGCAGUCCUCUCUGAGGUCCUCGCCUCUCUAAAAAACCACUCAUGGCAGGCCUUGACCCUCAGAGACUAUAACUGCUUUGGCCUGGACUGCGGCCUGUGCAUCAGGUGGUUCCAACAUGUAGCCCAAGUAUGCUUCUUAAAGUCUUGGCAGGCACAGGAACCACCCAGAUUCUGAUGCCAUUGGAUUGCAG